UACGAAGGGGGGCUAGCGUUGCUCGGAAUCACUGGGCGUAAAGCGCACGUAGGCGGCUUACUAAGUCAGGGGUGAAAUCCUGGAGCUCAACUCCAGAACUGCCUUUGAUACUGGUGAGCUUGAGUCCGGAAGAGGUGAGUGGAACUGCGAGUGUAGAGGUGAAAUUCGUAGAUAUUCGCAAGAACACCAGUGGCGAAGGCGGCUCACUGGUCCGGCACUGACGCUGAGGUGCGAAAGCGUGGGGAGCAAACAGG
rnacentral:rRNA from 1 species